AGCGAACGCUGGCGGCAGGCCUAACACAUGCAAGUCGAGCGAACUCUUCGGAGUUAGUGGCGGACGGGUGAGUAACACGUGGGAACGUGCCUUUAGGUUCGGAAUAACUCAGGGAAACUUGUGCUAAUACCGAAUGUGCCCUUCGGGGGAAAGAUUUAUCGCCUUUAGAGCGGCCCGCGUCUGAUUAGCUAGUUGGUGAGGUAAAGGCUCACCAAGGCGACGAUCAGUAGCUGGUCUGAGAGGAUGAUCAGCCACAUUGGGACUGAGACACGGCCCAAACUCCUACGGGAGGCAGCAGUGGGGAAUCUUGCGCAAUGGGCGAAAGCCUGAUGCAGCCAUGCCGCGUGAAUGAUGAAGGUCUUAGGAUUGUAAAAUUCUUUCACCGGGGACGAUAAUGACGGUACCCGGAGAAGAAGCCCCGGCUAACUUCGUG
rnacentral:rRNA from 1 species